UACAGAGGAUGCAAGCGUUAUCCGGAAUGAUUGGGCGUAAAGCGUCUGUAGGUGGCUUUUUAAGUCCGCCGUCAAAUCCCAGGGCUCAACUCUGGACAGGCGGUGGAAACUACCAAGCUGGAGUACGGUAGGGGCAGAGGGAAUUUCCGGUGGAGCGGUGAAAUGCGUAGAUAUCGUGAGGAAGACCAGUGGCGAAGGCGGGUCUCUGGACAGUUCCUGACGCUGAGGCGCGAAGGCCAGGGGAGCAAACGGG
rnacentral:rRNA from 1 species